rnacentral:rRNA from 1 species
GACGAACCGUCCGAACGUUAUUCGGAAUCACUGGGCUUAAAGGGUGCGUAGGCGGCACGGAAAGUUGGGUGUGAAAUCCCUCGGCUCAACCGAGGAACUGCGCCCAAAACUACCGUGCUCGAGGGAGAUAGAGGUGAGCGGAACUUAGGGUGGAGCGGUGAAAUGCGUUGAUAUCCUAAGGAACACCGGUGGCGAAAGCGGCUCACUGGAUCUUUUCUGACGCUGAGGCACGAAAGCUAGGGUAGCGAACGGG